rfam:Salmo salar isolate Sally breed double haploid chromosome ssa21, whole genome shotgun sequence.
UUCCCUGUGGCUCAGUUGGUAGAGCAUGGUGUUUGCAACGCCAGGGUUGUGGGUUUGAUUCCCACGGGGGGGG